rnacentral:lncRNA from 1 species
ACUUGUGGCUGCCAUGGAUGUUGCUGUUAGCGGCGCAAUUUCGAGGAAGAUGGUGUGCUGAUGUGCGAUUCGUGAUGACGGUGAAAUGAUGGAAUCCGCGAUCUGGGUUGCAGGUGAUGAAGAUGAACUGGAUUGAUUGCAGAGAUUUGGACUGAUGCGAGGUGCGAUGGUGUCCAUGGAGGUUGCGAGAUUCUGCGUGUGGAGAUUGACGGAGGUUGCUCAUGGUGGUUGCGGCUGUGUGAAUGGUUGCACGAUGGUGAUCGAAGCGAAACCGUGAUGGUGCGUGUUUGAUGUGAUUUCUGGAUCUGGGUUUCUGCUUGUGUUCACGAGACGGACGAAGGUGGCUGCCGGCGAUAAGGUGGGUGGUGGCACUGUUGCGGCGGCUAGGGUUUGAAUUUGGGAAUUAGGGUUUCUGUUGGAGAUGAUGAUGACGUGGCAAGAGGGACUAGGUGGCAUGUUCUGAUUGGUUUAUUUGGUGAGUGCAGGGAUUAGUGAUGUGGCAUCAUCUGGAUGGUUGGAUCUAUUAUUUGUGGACUGCCAUGUGGCACCAUCUUAAGCAAUCUGACUUAGUUAGUGAUAGGAGGGGUAUAGGUAGGAAAAUUGAGGAGGUGUAGGAGAUAAGGUUUAGUGUUUGGGCUUGGUUGCUGGCCUGGUUUAAAACUGGGGGUGCAUGUAGGGAAAUCUGGGGGUGCAAGGGUAAAAACUGAGUUUGGCCCAUCUGUACAUUAUUUAUCAAAUAAAAUCUGACUUUGGGCUUUAAAUUGCAAUUUGUACCAAUAAAACUCUAACUUCAGCUGCACAAAUAAAUAUUAGAACAUCCAAGAAUAAUUUAUGCAAUUAAAAUCACUUUUUAAGCCUCUUUAAUUCCAAAACCCAA